rnacentral:sRNA from 1 species
GCCAGGCAUGGUGACGCACACCUGUAAUCCCAGCAGCUUGGGAGGCUGAGGCAGGAGGAUCGAGAGUUCAAAGCCAGCCUCAGCAACAGCGAGGUGAUAAACAACUCAGUGAGACCCUGUCUCUA